CUACUAAUACAUUAAAUUAUAACUAAAUUAUAUAUUUAUUUCUUUGGUCUGCCGUCGUUGGGACAUACCUCCUCGCGGAUAAGUUAAAGAAGAAUACCUUCCAGAAUAAAAACAUACAGUAGGGCAUAUAAAUAAAUUUAUUUGUUACUUAUGACCACACUAUUAUUUUAAUAAAAACUUCCCGAGUGUGCAUUUUUAUCUUUCUUUGUUAAAGGUAUUCGUAUUUAAAACAGUAAGGUAAUAACGCAAAGAAUUAAUAGACUUAAAUAUAACAAAUACAAACAGUAAUACCAUAUUAGGUGUUAGAACAGAUUAUCAACACAAAAUUAAUUGUAAAAACAUAACAGAAACUCUCGAAGACGCCAAGAAAUAAUUGUGUACAAAAUAAUAUAUAAAAAUAUAACAAUUGGACAUACCGUCAACAGUCAACAACAAUACAGGUAUAAUUUCACUGAGAUUCAUUGGCGGAGAAUGGUUUAGUUAACAUAUCUUUUUUAUUAAAUCAUUCUAUAAUUAGAAGAUGAUUUGAUCCGACUAUAUGUGAUCAUUUAAAAGUACAAAUAAUUUAAUCAAAUUAACAAGAACGAUAAUACAACUAAAAAAGAAACAUAUACGGCUUUCACCGGACGCUACAAUUUAUAAUUUAUCAAAUCAUAGAAUUAUUCAAGUUUAAGAUUUUGUUAUAUUCUAAGAUAAAAAAUUGAAAGAUUCUCUAACCCGUAACAAUACGACUAACAAUCUGGUUGAUCCUGCCAGUAGCAUAUGCUUGUCUCAAAGAUUAAGCCAUGCAUGUCUAAGUAUAAACAUCUUUAUACAGUAAAACUGCGUACGGCUCAUUAUAUCAGUAAUUAUUUAUUUGAUGGUACCUUACUACAUGGAUAACCGUAGUAAUUCUAGAGCUAAUACAUGCACAAAGUCCCGACUUCGCGGAAGGGAUGUAUUUAUUAGAUAAAAAAUCAAUGCGGGUUCUGCCCGGUUAUUUGGUGAAUCAUAGUAACUGUUCGAAUCGCACGGCCUCGUGCUGGCGAUAGUUCAUUCAAAUUUCUGCCCUAUCAGCUUGAUUGUAGUGUAGUGGACUACAAUGGCAGUGACGGGUAACGGAGAAUUAGGGUUCGAUUCCGGAGAGGGAGCCUGAGAAACGGCUACCACAUCCAAGGAAGGCAGCAGGCGCGCAAAUUACCCAAUCCUGACACAGGGAGGUAGUGACAAGAAAUAACAAUAUCGGGCCUUUCUAGGUCUGGUAAUUGGAAUGAGUACAAUUUAAAUCCCUUAACGAGUAUCAAUUGGAGGGCAAGUCUGGUGCCAGCAGCCGCGGUAAUUCCAGCUCCAAUAGCGUAUAUUAAAGUUGCUGCAGUUAAAAAGCUCGUAGUUGGAUUUCUGACUUAGUACGUCUGGCCCGCCACAGUUAUGUGGUGUGUGCCGGGUCGUGCUUGUCAUCCUUCUAGUGAACGUAUCUGCCCUUAACUGGGUUGGGUACGAGAUCUAGAUCUUUUACUUUGAGUAAAUUAGAGUGUUUAAAGCAGGCUUAUGCUAUGAAUACAUUAGCAUGGAAUAAUAAUUUAGGACUUUGGUUCUAUUUUGUUGGUUUCUAGGACUGAAGUAAUGAUUGAUAGGGAUCGUUGGGGGUGCUCGUAUUCAGCGGCCAGAGGUGAAAUUCUUGGAUUCGCUGAAGACGAACUAAUGCGAAAGCAUUCACCAAGGAGAUCUUCUUUAAUCAAGAACGAAAGUUGGGGGAUCGAAGACGAUCAGAUACCGUCGUAGUCUCAACCAUAAACUAUGCCGACUAGGGAUCAGGGAGCGUUGAUUUAUCGACCUCCUUGGCACCUUAUGAGAAAUCAAAGUCUUUGGGUUCCGGGGGGAGUAUGGUCGCAAGGCUGAAACUUAAAGGAAUUGACGGAAGGGCACCACCAGGAGUGGAGCCUGCGGCUUAAUUUGACUCAACACGGGGAAACUUACCAGGUCCGGACUAACAGAGGAUUGACAGAUUGAAGAUCUUUCUUGAUCGUUAGGGUGGUGGUGCAUGGCCGUUCUUAGUUGGUGGAGUGAUUUGUCUGGUUUAUUCCGUUAACGAACGAGACCUCGACCUGCUAAAUAGCUCGGUGAACUCCUCGGGGUUCAUACGUGGCUUCUUAGAGGGACUAUCGGUGCGUAGCCGAAGGAAGUUCGAGGCAAUAACAGGUCUGUGAUGCCCUUAGAUGUUCUGGGCCGCACGCGCGCUACACUGAUGCGUUCAUCGAGCUUAUAACCUUGCCCGAUAGGGUUGGGUAAUCUUCUCAAAGCGCAUCGUGCUGGGGAUAGAUGAUUGUAAUUAUUCAUCUUCAACGAGGAAUUCCUAGUAAUCGCAUGUCAUCAGCAUGCAAUGAUUACGUCCCUGCCCUUUGUACACACCGCCCGUCGCUACUACCGAUUGAAUGAAUUAGUGAGCUUCAGCGGAUUGAUGCUCUAGGGGGCAACUUUUAGGGUAUUGAGAUGUGAAACAAACUUGCUCAUUAGAGGAAGUAAAGUCGUA
rnacentral:rRNA from 1 species